UAUGCCAGGCGGGCUGUGAGCAGUCACUCUCCACAGCACGCCGAGAGAAGAGGCAGCCUGAGAGAAGAGGACAGAGGAAACCUAUCUGCUCAUCUGUCUGUCCAGCGCCUUCCUCUGGGCAUCCACAAGGUGCAUCUGGCCGGCCCUACAUACAGAGGUGGCAACACCUCCGCAGAGGAGUCUGGAGCUGGAGAAGAAGAAGAGGAAGAGGAGGAGGAGAAGAGAAAACAUCCUGCAGGGAUCAUUGUGCUGAAGGAUUACGAGGGGCAGGCAGAGGAUUUGAGCUCGCUGGUAUCAUGUUGCGUCCUUCUGUUCCUCUGCUUCCACAUCACGGGAGCUCAGCACCUGACUGGUGAAGGGACAGUCAGCUUUUACCUGCGUGGACCUGCUACGUUAUUACCUAAGUGACACCUGGUUAGAUCGCUCCUAGGGAUUAUUACAGACUCCAUCCUGGUUGACAGUGAGUGGACUGAUACCUGAAGACACCACCUGAAGUGCAACUCAUGG